AUCAACAGAGGCACUAAAAGGUGUUCUAGUACUAGUGCAGAUCCUCCUUGCACAGGAUUCGUUGAAGGAAUGGCUCCGGUGUUUUCGAAAGCUGCUUGGUUUUGCACUUGGAAUCUUAUACAGAAUGAUUUGGUUCAUGGAUGGGGAAUGGAUAUGAAACUCGGGUAUUG